rnacentral:lncRNA from 1 species
AUGGAGAGGUUUGAGCUUUGAUUUGGUAUAGAUCAGAGGUGUCUAGGGGCCAAGAUGGAGCACAAAAGGUAAAGGCUACAGUUUGGAAGAUGCUGCCAUGGAGUCCUAGCCAACAAGGACUCCUCAUUAAUGGCUUUAAUCUAGAUAUGAUAACCCCAGGAUACCACACCCCAAGCUCUAAUUCUUAGAAUCUUGGGAGUAGAAGAUUAGAUCUGGAGGUGCAUCUCAAGUCCAAAAAAGUGGGGGAGACGCGAACUAGG